GGUCCUACGGGAGGCAGCAGUAGGGAAUAUUGGACAAUGGGGGCAACCCUGAUCCAGCAAUGCCGCGUGAGUGAUGAAGGCCUUAGGGUUGUAAAGCUCUUUUACCCGGGAUGAUAAUGACAGUACCGGGAGAAUAAGCCCCGGCUAACUCCGUGCCAGCAGCCGCGGUAAUCGCAAACU
rnacentral:rRNA from 1 species